UACGUAGGGGGCGAGCGUUGUCCGGAAUCACUGGGCGUAAAGCGCACGUAGGCGGACUCUUAAGUCGGUGGUGAAAUCCUGGAGCUCAACUCCAGAACUGCCUUCGAUACUGAGAGUCUUGAGUCCGGGAGAGGUGAGUGGAACUGCGAGUGUAGAGGUGAAAUUCGUAGAUAUUCGCAAGAACACCAGUGGCGAAGGCGGCUCACUGGCCCGGUACUGACGCUGAGGUGCGAAAGCGUGGGGAGCAAACAGG
rnacentral:rRNA from 1 species